CGGGACGGGUGAGUAAUGUCUGGGAAACUGCCUGAUGGAGGGGGAUAACUACUGGAAACGGUAGCUAAUACCGCAUAACGUCGCAAGACCAAAGAGGGGGACCUUCGGGCCUCUUGCCAUCGGAUGUGCCCAGAUGGGAUUGGCUAGUAGGUGGGGUAACGGCUCACCUAGGCGACGAUCCCCAGCUGGUCUGAGAGGAUGACCAGCCACACUGGAACUGAGACACGGUCCAG
rnacentral:rRNA from 1 species